rnacentral:rRNA from 1 species
GACAGAGGGGGCAAGCGUUGUCCGGAAUUACUGGGCGUAAAGGGCUCGUAGGCGGCCAACUAAGUCAGACGUGAAAUCCCUCGGCUUAACCGGGGAACUGCAUCUGAUACUGGAUGGCUUGAGUUCGGGAGAGGGAUGCGGAAUUCCAGGUGUAGCGGUGAAAUGCGUAGAUAUCUGGAGGAACACCGGUGGCGAAGGCGGCAUCCUGGACCGACACUGACGCUGAGGAGCGAAAGCCAGGGGAGCAAACGGG